CUCAUUCAAAUUCAAAUCUUUUUGAAUUCAAAUAAAAACCAUCCUCAUCCAGAACCAAAAGGGAUUAGAUGUGGGUGCAAAUCCUCUUUUGGGUGUGAGAAAAAAUUCAUACAAAGACACUUCUCACUUGAGGAAAAAAUGGGCGCAGAGAAAGGAGGCACAUAGGAUGUUUUCUUUCAAUUUUGAAUUCGAAUCUUAUCCAAUUAGGCUCUUGACCCAACCAAAUUAGGUUAGACCCAAUUACAUCAUCUAAUCUAAUUGGAUAACAAAUGAUCUUGAUUAAAUCUUAAUCAAAUAAAAAAUUAAUCGAGCUUAAGUUUCGAUCAAAUCAAGAAUCAAACACCCUUAGCGAUUAGAUCAUCUUAUAACCUAAUUGGAUCAAACCAAAUUAAAUCCAAUUCAAUUAGAUUUGAUCCAAACCUC
rnacentral:lncRNA from 1 species